CCCCGAAUGGCGCAGUUGGUAGCGCAGUCGGCUGUAAUUGAUUAAUUGAUACCGAAAGGUCACCGGCUCGAAUCCGGUUUCGGGGA
rnacentral:tRNA from 2 species